UACGUAGGGUGCAAGCGUUGUCCGGAAUUAUUGGGCGUAAAGAGCUUGUAGGCGGUUUGUCGCGUCUGCUGUGAAAUUUCGGGGCUCAACCCCGAACUUGCAGUGGGUACGGGCAGGCUAGAGUGUGGUAGGGGAGACUGGAAUUCCUGGUGUAGCGGUGAAAUGCGCAGAUAUCAGGAGGAACACCGAUGGCGAAGGCAGGUCUCUGGGCCAUAACUGACGCUGAGAAGCGAAAGCAUGGGGAGCGAACAGG
rnacentral:rRNA from 1 species